rnacentral:rRNA from 1 species
AUGGCUGUCACUUAGGUUGUGGAUGAACAGACGAAGCAUCUAAUUCAGGCAGCAGUGCUAAUAACUAUGGUUCAGGCCUGGAUCCUGGUGGUCCAUAAGAAAGCUAUUUGUCAGAAUGACAAACCUCUGAUCUGAUAUGGUCCGAUGUUAAUCCGAUAUCAGGAGAGGAUAGAGAAUCUGAACUGCAUCUACAAAUGCAAUGAUACAAAGGCUUUGUGGAUGCUUUGAGCGACAACAGCACGUUUCGCCAGGCUUGUGCAAACAUUCAGGAAUAGGUGGCUACUAGAAGGUAGCAUCCACACCACUGUCGAAGAGCAAGUAGCAAUGUUCAUCCAUGUUGUUAGACAUAACCAUAGGUUCAAGGUUGUACACAACACCUUCAGGAGAUCAAUGGAGACCAUCUCCAGGUACUUCCAGCAAGUGUUGUAUGCUAUUGGGGAACUUAGAGGAGAGAUGAUCGUGUCACCAACUGGCCAGACUCCUACCAAGAUUCCCACUCGCCCAAGAUGGUAUCCAUACUUCAGGGUGAGCACUGACAGUAUUUAG